GGACUGCAGGCUGCAACCCGCCUGCACGAAGUUGGAAUUGCUAGUAAUCGUGGAUCAGCAUGCCACGGUGAAUACGUUCCCGGGUCUUGUACACACCGCCCGUCACACCAUGGGAGUCGGUAACACCCGAAGUCAGUAGUCUAACCGCAAGGAGGACGCUGCCGAAGGUGGGAUUGACGACUGGGGUGAAGUCGUAACAAGGUACC
rnacentral:rRNA from 1 species